GCCCAAGUUGAGCGUCCUUGCCGGCGAUCUCUCCGUUUUUAACGCGUCCUGGAAUAGCAUCAAAUUUAUGCCUGCUACUUUUAUCUUUGAUCUACAGCUUAGUGUGCUUAGUGUUCUCUGUUAAAAUAUCUUCAAGCCUAGCAGAGUUUUGUAUGGAAGCAGCAAGGUGAAGGACACACUGAAGUGCAGCUGAGUCGGCGGCAAGCAUGGCGACCUCGGCGUGAGGCUACAGUCCAGCGCCAGUUGGUUGUGCUUCUGUACACGACAAGCCUGUGACGUCAAAGAUGAGGGUAGAUAUUUUUGUUAUAUGUGAUGGGGUUUACCAAUUAAAUGUCAUUGGUGCUGUUUUGGUAGAGGGUAAGAAUGAUGGUUUUAUAAUUCAUCUCCAUAAGAUUGGUUUGUAUCACUUGACAUUUUUUUCAUCAUGUUCCAAAAUUUCAUGGUGUGUCACUUUGACUCGAGAUGGUGUUUAAGUGUGAAGUCGGAAUACAAACUCCAUUGUGUUGACAAGGCUCUGCCAGACUCCACCAGAUGGAACGAGGAUGAGGUUCAUAUGUUUCUCAAGUACAAGGAAUCCACGUACCGGGGGACUGUUUCGGGAAGAUAUUAGAGUGCAGCUUAUUGCUUGUGCAUCUCCAUUUGAGUUCUGCAACACAUAGGGUGUCUUCAUGCUAAACUAGGUCCAAAUGCACUUGUGUUGUGAGCAUGAAAUUCUGAACAGCUGUGAAGUGUGCGAUAACGUGAUCUGGUUAUGCAUUGCUUUUUAGUAUCAUCGCCCA